CAGUGACCGAUAGUGAACUAGUACCGUGAGGGAAAGGUGAAAAGAACCCCUAUUAGGGGAGUGAAAUAGAACCUGAAACCGGAUGCCUACAAUCAGUCGGAGCUCUAUAUGAGUGACGACGUACCUUUUGUAUAAUGGGUCAGUGACUUUAUCUGUGCAGCAAGCUUAAGCCGAAAAGGUGUAGGCGUAGCGAAAGCGAGUCUGAAUAGGGCGAUGAGUUGUACGGAUAAGAACCCGAAACCUAGUGAUCUAGUUAUGAGCAGGUUGAAGGUAAGGUAACACUUACUGGAGGACCGAACCGGUGCCUGUUGAAAAAGGCUCGGAUGACUUGUGAUUAGGGGUGAAAGGGCAAUCAAACUGGGAGAUAGCUGGUUUUCCGCGAAAACUAUUUAGGUAGUGCGUUGAAUAAUAAGAUCUUGAGGGGUAGAGCACUAAAUAGGCUAGGGGGAAGAAAUUCUUACUAAACCUAAUAAAACUCCGAAUACUCAAGAUUGUUUCUCAAUAGACAGACGGUGGGAGCUAACUUCCAUCGUCGAGAGGGAAAAAACCCAGACCACCAUCUAAGGUCCCAAAAUCGUAGUUAAGUGUGAAAGGAUGUGAAGACUCCAAAACAGCCGGGAGGUUGGCUUAGAAGCAGCCAUCCUUUAAAGAAAGCGUAACAGCUCACCGGUCUAAUUAAGAGACUUUGCGCCGAAGAUGUAACGGGGCUCAAACUACGUACCGAAGUUGUGGAUUUAAAGUGUCUACGGACAUUUUAUCUGGUAGCGGAACGUUCUGUAAGUCUGUGAAGGGAUACCCGCGAGGGGUCCUGGAGAUAUCAGAAGUGCGAAUGCUGACAUAAGUAGCGACAAACAGAGUGAAAGACUCUGUCGCCGAAAAUACAAGGGUUCCUGCGUAAAGUUAAUCUUCGCAGGGUUAGUCGGCCCCUAAGGCGAGGGCGAAAGCCGUAGUCGAUGGGAACAAGGUAAAUAUUCCUUGACCUGAUGGUAGUGACGGAUCUCGUAUAUUGUAAGUUCUUAUUGGAUUGAACUUGCCUUGAAGAGGUCCCAGGAAAUAACUCCAUCAUUAAGACCGUACCCUAAACGGACACACGUGUAUUGGUAGAGAAUACCUAGGCGCUUGAGAGAAUGAUGUUGAAGGAACUCGGCAACUUGCCUCUGUAACUUCGGGAUAAAGAGGGCCUUAUUUUGCGCAAGCAGAGUAAGGUGGCACAAGCCAGGGAGUAGCGACUGUUUAACAAAAACACAGGACUCUGCUAACACGUAAGUGGAUGUAUAGGGUCUGACGCCUGCCCGGUGCCGGAAGGUUAAAGCAAGAUGUGCAAGCAUCGAACUGAAGCCCCGGUGAACGGCGGCCGUAACUAUAACGGUCCUAAGGUAGCGAAAUUCCUUGUCGGGUAAGUUCCGAC
rnacentral:rRNA from 1 species